rnacentral:misc_RNA from 1 species
GAAAAAGAAACCUAUGAUCAUUGUGGAAGCAGCUUGUGCAAAUAUUUUGACAGUUGAAUCUUCAACUUGAGAUAUGUUGUUUUCCAUAAGGUUCGGCCCACCAAUUGCAGAAUAGAACAGCAGAACUCCUCCAAGUGAGACUUUAUGAAUCUAAUAACUUUCAUUGGUUCAGUUUCAAUGAUGCAAAAGAUGUAGCAAGAUCCAUUGCCUCCUUUAUUUGAGAUGCAUCGAUUCCCUGGCCUGACGCGAGGCCACCUUUCCCCUUCCCACAUCUUCCUUUUAAAGGCUGCAAAGCUGUUGUCAACCAUUCUGAUACCUCUAAUUGCUUCCCUUGACUCCCUUUUGGAGGAACCCCAGCACAAACCACAGCCUUCUUUGUGGUUUCAUCGGUGCUGAAAACCAUCGCGGAUAUGCCCUUUUGCUCCAUAACUCUAAUAACUGCUUCACGAACCGCAACUGCAUCCAAACCAACAUCGACACGGG